ensembl:lncRNA
UCCUGCUGGUUCAAAGAGUUCUAAGCACUCUUCUGUAAAUCAUCAUCUCACAUCUAUUUAUUAUCUUCCAGCUCAGUGCACAAUACUAUCUGUUACACAUGGAUACCAGCAAUAAUACAUGGGGGGCUCUGGUAUAAGAGACAGCCUGCUCUGCUCAUCUGUGGUCUGAGUCUCAUCCUGCAACAGGGAGUUUCUGCUCAUGCUGUAGCCACCGUCGUCAGCAAUUAAAACAAAGAACAGGAUCCUGCUUAGCUCUGGAGGAAACUGAAAUAAACAACGCAAAGAGCUUAUCCUGAGGACCUCCAUGAGAAGUGAGACAGAGCAGAGAAGUUAAGUGAAUUGUUGUGACAAAGGAGCACAAAUGAGUGGACUUAAAACAACAUGGCAUUCCCACAAUUUUGGAGGCUUGAAGACUGAAAUCAGUGUUGGCAGGCCAGCAUUCCUUCCAAAGCCUGGAGGGGAGAAUCCUUUCUUGCCUUUUGAUAGCUUCUAGUGGUUGCCAGAAAUCUUGGGCAUUUCAAGGCUUGUAAAUGCAUCACUA